CCAAUAGCGUAUAUUAAAGUUGUUGCAGUUAAAAAGCUCGUAGUUGAACCUUAGGCCCGUGCGGGCGGUCCGUCCUCUGGGCGAGCACUGCUCCGUCGCGGGUCUCACCUUCUGGCGAGCGUGGAUGCCAUUUAUUUGGUGUCCGCGGGAACCAGGACCUUUACCUUGAAAAAAUUAGAGUGCUCAAAGCGGGCUCCGACGCUUGAAUACAUUAGCAUGGAAUAAUGAAAUAGGACGAUGGUUCUAUUUUGUUGGUUUCCGGGACCGUCGUAAUGAUUUAUAGGGAUAGUUGGGGGCAUUCGUAUUCAAUUGUCAGAGGUGAAAUUCUUGGAUUUAUUGAAGACGAACUACUGCGAAAGCAUUUGCCAAGGAUGUUUUCAUUAAUCAAGAACGAAAGUUGGGGGAUCGAAGACGAUCAGAUACCGUCGUAGUCUCAACCAUAAACUAUGCCGACUGGGAAUCGGGCGAUGUUACUUUUCUGACUCGCUCGGCGCCCCGAG
rnacentral:rRNA from 1 species